AUGGAAGGCCUCUUGCAUUGGGAUUUUGCACCUGGCCUUGCCUUGGCCGAUCAGGUGAGACGAAGGUUUGGCUCCAUGGUCCAUUUUGCUCCUUCUCGAGGCUCCAAGGAAUUAUUUUUGGUGGUCUCUUUCUCCUCUGCUUCCUUCACUCUCUCCGUGGAUUCGGUUGGUCUUGUGCUCCAAUGCUGCAUUGGG
rnacentral:rRNA from 1 species